UGCGUAGGCGGCUUUGCAAGUCAGAUGUGAAAUCUAUGGGCUCAACCCAUAAACUGCAUUUGAAACUGUAGAGCUUGAGUGAAGUAGAGGCAGGCGGAAUUCCCCGUGUAGCGGUGAAAUGCGUAGAGAUGGGGAGGAACACCAGUGGCGAAGGCGGCCUGCUGGGCUUUAACUGACGCUGAGGCACGAAAGCGUGGUAGCAAACA
rnacentral:rRNA from 1 species